rnacentral:snRNA from 1 species
AUCACUUCUUGGCCUUUUGGCUAAGAUCAAGUGUAAUAUCUGUUCUUAUCAGUAAAGACUAUAAACAAUGCAAAGUAAGGAAGACAGGGACAUAUUAAAAGAUUUUUUGAUAGUUUAU